ensembl:misc_RNA
GGAAGGAGGCCAACGGGGAAACCCGCUUUGUGGAACUUGCUGCUCUAUUAUGUUACCGUAAAUCUUGGGCAAUCCUGGAACUAAUUAUCGAGAGGAUAUGUCUCAAUUUGUUCUGCAUUAAUGCCACGUUGGGAAUGGAGUCGGGGCCAUAGCCAGAGCAGACACUUGAGCACAUGAAAUUGAUGAACUGAGACUUGCUCCGAGUCCUCAGCGCACCAUCUGGAAUUCCAGUCUGGGGUUACGAUGAGAAUUUCUGACCCCAGAUUCAACUUUGGGGAAAAG